GUGGGCAUUACUAUCCGUGUGCACAGAUGAAGUCCGUGAAGCUUGGAGGGGUGAGUGACCGGCUUGAGUUCACGCAGCUGCUACGGGACAGAACGUUCCAGAGCCCCUGAUUGCUCCUGCUCAGCACAGCUACCUUCAAACCACCGAAGACCUGAACAGAAUUGCAAAGCAGGACAAGGCCAGAGACAGCUAGGAAUAUUCCUGAGGGGAAAAGAUGGAGAGACAAGAGGAUAACAGUGGUGUGAUCGUGGAGGGCAGACCCGCAUCCCUGCUCUGUCGUCACUGAGAUGCUCAGGUGGAAGCACUUGAUUUCCUGGGCUGUCUGCUGGUUGUUUACUUGCGGAAUGUGCUGUGAUGGAUGGCUGCUUCGCUCUCUGAACUUACCAUGUCUGUGCAACCCUCAAGAAGGAUCUGAGUCAACAGAUGACUCCAGCCGAGUUCACAAAUCUUUCAUCGGUGAGGUAAAGGGUCCCGCAGCUAUUUUCAUCACUUACUCAAGCCUUUACAGAGUCUGUUUGGGGUCUCUGUUCAGCAGAAGGGCAUCCAUCUCCUCGGUGGGUGGUAUUGGAGAGCUGCCAUCUUCAAGAGGAGGAGGCCUAACAUUCCCACUUCCCGGAGCUGAGAUCACCUCAGAAGGGCAACUAGGGUGUGUCGGGGUGAAUGUGGGAGCUGGGGGGAACGUGGGGAGGAUUUGUCUUCUGGUCCCAGCUCUGCUUUUGACUGAAUGACUUUGGAUAAAUUACUUUGC